GUCAUAUUCUAACAUUUUCCUAUGCAAUUUUCUCAAAGAUGGUAGGUACAUUUUUGAAAUAAAUAUUUUUUUAUUUUUCAUUUUUUUACAAAGACUCUGAAAUUGCAAACUAUUCAUAUUAGACUAAUAAAAACAAUUUUUGUUACUAGGACAUUUCUCAAUUUUUCAUAGAUUUUGUACCAGUGGAGAUGAUAGCAAAUUACCUGGAUCAUAAUAACAGAGCAUCUUACUACUUCAAAUAGACAAGACAGACUUUCUUAAAACCUAUUUUAAUAGAUUGUCUACAAAUUAACAAAAUAUGUGGUUAUUUCACUUUGUCAAGUUAGAUGAACAAAUGAAUGCUUUGUUUGCAAGACUUUAAACAUUCAGACUGACCUAAGAUGUGAAUAUAUGUGUAUACCUGGAAAAUAGAAUAAACCUUCAUCAGUUCAGUGUGAAGCAUCCUUAAGAACAAUGAAGAAUACCCAUCUAGAAAGAAAAGCUUCUUCUAGUUACCAGCUAAUUUCUUAUGUCAUUUUGCCCAACCCUGCCCCACUUUGCUGCAAGUAGUUUGUUGUUUUUAAAAUACUUUCAUUCCCUUCUUUGGAAAGAUCAUGAAGGAUAAUAUAAUUUUAUUCAAGUUCAUUAUUUUCUUAAAAUAUUGAGCCAGAUAAAACUAGACUAUUAAUGUGUUUUUUCUGUUCAGUAUUCCUCUUUAUUGACAACUCAUCAAGAUCUGGCAAAUAACACUAAAUUGAAUUAGUGAUUAAAUUG
rnacentral:lncRNA from 1 species